GCAGUUCCCGUCUCAUCGUUUAGUUCUAUUUUACCUUCAACUACCAUAUCAAAAUCUAGUAUUAAAAUUGAAUGGAAGUUUACUGAUGAUGAAUCAGAUAUAGAAAGACAAUACAUUUCUAUUUCACCUCAUUUAUUGGGAGAUUUUAAUUCUUCAGCUAUGGAGAUUCCUAGUGUGGUAACAGAGUUUACAUUUUCUGGUCUACCUCUACACGAUGGGAGUAAAUAUAAAGUUAAAGUGAUUGGUUGUAAUUUAGCUGGUUUGUGUCUGUCGAGUGUUACAGAUGAUAUAACAGUUGAUUCUACACCACCUACCAGAGGUAUGUUUGCCAUUGAUACUGACCACGCCGCUAACUUAAACAGAGAUAGGAAUAACUGGAACCACUGGUCUACUACGUCUAUUAAGUUAGCAUGGUUGGGAUUUGCCGAUCUACAUACUGGUAUAACCGAGUAUAAAGUCAGUGUUGGAAGCAAACCUUU